rnacentral:rRNA from 1 species
UGGGGAAUAUUGCACAAUGGGCGCAAGCCUGAUGCAGCCAUGCCGCGUGUGUGAAGAAGGCCUUCGGGUUGUAAACCUCUUUUAGCAAGGAAGAAGCGAAAGUGACGGUACUUGCAGAAAAAGCGCCGGCUAACUACGUGCCAGCAGCCGCGGUAAUACGUAGGGCGCAAGCGUUAUCCGGAAUUAUUGGGCGUAAAGAGCUCGUAGGCGGUUUGUCGCGUCUGCUGUGAAAACCCGAGGCUCAACCUCGGGCCUGCAGUGGGUACGGGCAGACUAGAGUGCGGUAGGGGAGAUUGGAACUCCUGGUGUAGCGGUGGAAUGCGCAGAUAUCAGGAAGAACACCGAUGGCGAAGGCAGAUCUCUGGGCCGUAACUGACGCUGAGGAGCGAAAGGGUGGGGAGCAAAACAGGCUUAGAUACCCUGGUAGUCCACCCCGUAAACGUUGGGAACUAGUUGUGGGGUCCAUUCCACGGAUUCCGUGACGCAGCUAACGCAUUAAGUUCCCCGCCUGGGGGAGUACGGCCGCAAGGCUAAAACUUAAAUGAAUUGACGGGGUCAUAGCUGUUUCCU